CAAUAUUAACAAUCAUUGAACUACUCAAUGAACGGAAGACGACAAAAAAGAGUCAAACUUCACAAGUCGCCCUACUCGACAACUAUUAUCCAGACAACAUAAGAAAACUGAAACAGAUUGGGAACCAAAUAAUCGAGGUUUGUGAACUUUACAUCCAGUAGAUGGAACGGAGCUUCCAUCCCCACUAUUCAUUUCGCCACAAUCUUUCUCGGUUCAACGGGGGAUCGAACGAAAACAAUGUCUCCAGGUUCAAUCUUCCCCAAUCAGUGGCACAAGUGUUCGAUCAAAAGCACGUCCCGGGAGUAAUUCAAAGUGGGGAGCAUGUUAGGCCCCUAAACCUGCACAAAAAAAUAAGAAUUUUUAUCAGUCGAUUGAGGAAUAAGUUGAAGAAAUUGAGAAUUGGGAGAAGGGGGAUUAUGAGAGCGGAAACAAUGUAGUAAUGUGAAGGAAACAAAGAAACUUGGCGGGGAUUGAAGAUUUGGAUGUGGUGUCUUGUGCAAACGAUGAUGAAGAGAGAGAGGAAUUUGCUGACCGACUAGCUUUUUUCAUUCUCCUACGCCGGAGCUGGGAAGAAGGAACGACAUGUAAUUGGUCGGCCAAGCUUUGGAACCGUCCAGAAAGCCGCUGCCGGUACACUUUUCAGUUUACUUUACCCCACUACCGCCGCUAUUAUAUUUCAGAAAGCUUUUUAAUCAAUUGUAGGUUCCGACGGUUCUGUAUCUUCCUCAUCGACGAGUUGAUGCAUGUGGAGAUAGAUACGAGAGAAUGGAUGAUUAGAGUGAGAAGAGUAUAUAGGGUUUAGCAAUUCGGUAAGUUGGGGUUCGCCUGAGAUUUAUUCCUUCAAGAUGUG
rnacentral:lncRNA from 1 species